ACACCGAAGUCAAGCAUCAUUGGGCACGGUCAGUACUUGGGUGGGUGACCACCUGGGAACACCGCGUGCC